UCAGUCAGUCUCUUGCUAUCAUUCGUGCCGUUAAGAGUGUGAUGUGCAAUUUCUUCUUUCUGUCUCUCCCACGUCUGUCGACUCCUUGUACGUUUUGGCCUACGGCCGCCACCAUGUACCCAUUUAAUCUGCUGGAUGCAUAAGCAACUGGUUUGCGGAAAAAUCGAGGUGAACUAUGAUUAACGGAGGUGCGAUGAUGGCUUGAGAACAGUCAUCAACAGGUAACGAAAAUCAUGACGAUUUAGGAAAAUAAAAUCGUCAAGGGUUUUUUUGCUUAUAGUGCUAAAUUAGGGGAAGGAACCAACAGGUUAGAAUAUCGUGAUGAGUUUGGGAAAGCUUGUUUGAAUUUAUUUGUUUAAUUUUGAAAAGAAAGGUUGGAGGUCGUGAGUAUUUUGAAAGUAGAGGUUGUAAUUAGUUCUGAAAGUUAUUGUUUUUUAAAGAGAGAGUUACAAGCGAGAAAAAUCAUCCCCUGUUCUUAUGGGGACCAGUGCCGAUUGACCAAUGGAGUCCUCGAUCUGUCGCGAAUCCUAGAGUGAUGUUAAUAGAUUAGAAAAUUAAGUAUUGAAGUGAAUAAUGCAUACUGAGAAAGGAAAGUUCAGUUAGAUGUUAUAACAAUACACGAAACAAUAAAGAUUAUUGUUUGUCGCCGUGAUAUUGCCAGUUCUUUCGAUGCCUUUGUCAAACACAUCCCUUAAGAUCUUUGAAACACUCCAAUUAUGCAGGUGAGGUUAAGCGCUCUUAGUGCACCUCCGCCGUAACUCUCCAACCGUAGUAGUGCAGCCGCUGAUUCUCUCGCUCAUUCUUCUUCCUCCUCCUCUGGACGGAUCAGCUGCACCGAAACUGUCUCCUUCCGCUUUCCUUUGUUUCGAGUGAGGCGCCUCCUCCACUUGAAACGCCUCCACCCACAUCUCCCUCUUCUACCCCGCAACAACAGACUCGUCGCUCCUCCUCUUCGACGUUCAUUGGACUCCGGUGAACGAGAAAUCUCGGAACAGAGGAAAAAAAACGAGUGGAAAACGGAAUAAAACAGAAACUCCGUAUGAAAACUUGUGACGUCUGCUGCAUAUUGCACAGCGAUGUCAUAUCACUGGUUUUGAAUGGACUGGUUGAAGGCUCUGUUCAGCAGCCUAUGCUAAGGACAUGCGAGUGUGCCUCUCCUAUUACCCAUUGGCUACGUAGCAUUGCGCUUAAAUUGAAACACACUUGUAUAUGAGACAAAUCUGUAGAAUAAGCUAUAGCAACAUAGCUCCCAUGGCCGCCAUCCCGGAGACCAGCAAACUACCUCAGCCGAGAGCGACCCCUGUGAGAGAUCUGGGGAUAUAACAGCAGAUAGCCUUUCAAGUUUCUCGAAGAGAUAAGUACGGUCAUCUUACCCGUAUUCUCGAUGACUGGAAUUGCCUUCCAGUUAGAUAAGGAUGAUACCAAAGACAAUGGAUAAAGUCAGAUGUUAUUCAGAUGUUCUUUAAUUUGUCAUCGGGAAACUCAUGGCUAGGAAAGUCUAGGCGAAAUCGCUGUUGAAAAUAUCGCGUUGAAGAAAGCUCUGCUGUGGUUGCUGUUUAUAUGAUAUCUGGGAGUAACCUUUUUCUUAAGCAACCUACGUGAUUUGCUUGUGUUUCUAGUUUGUAAUUUUUUUUUUUAUUUGCCUAACUAGGAUACUAGUAAUGAAAUGAUUAACUAAGUUUUUUUAUCAUUGUUAUUUCUGCACAAACAGUUCGUACUAUCCUCCCGAAAUGUUACUAUGACUUCUCAGUUCCGCGCUUCUGGGUUCAUUUGAAUCAAAAUUAACGCACUUUUGUCAAGAACAGCUUUUCAUUUUACGUUGGUUUCGUUGUUGAUACUUUAAACAAAAUCAGGGCGCUCCAUUCGUUGAUGUGCAAUAAACGCUUUAUAAAUUACUUGAAAAGAUUCAGUUUUUUUUCAUUUCGAUCAGUAAGCUAGCUCCUCGAAUUCACUCACUCAAACACUCUCACUCACAAAAAGCAAUCACUGCAAAUGCUUGCAAAC